rnacentral:rRNA from 1 species
AACGAACGCUGGCGGCGUGGAUUAGGCAUGCAAGUCGAACGCAUCAUUUAGCUUUUUCGAAUGAUGAGUGGCGAAAGGGUGAGUAACGCGUGGGCAACCUGCCCUAAGGUGGGGGAUAACCUGUCGAAAGACGGGCUAAUACCGCUUAAGCUUCCGGACUGAGAUGUUCGGAAGGAUAGAUGGGGAUCUCUUCGGAGACCUGUCGCCUUUGGAUGGGCCCGCGUCCUAUCAGCUAGUUGGUGAGGUAAUGGCUCACCAAGGCUAAGACGGGUAGCUGGUCUGAGAGGAUGGUCAGCCACACUGGGACUGAGACACUGCCCAGACACCUACGGGUGGCUGCAGUCGAGAAUCUUCCGCAAUGGGGCAACCCUGACGAGCGACGCCGCGUGCAGGAUGAAGGUCUUCGG